rnacentral:tRNA from 1 species
AGUCACGUGGUGUAUAGCGCAUGAGAGUGCAAAUCUCAAAGAGCAGGGUGAAGCCUGCCGUGGCUU